rnacentral:lncRNA from 1 species
UAAAACAUACGUUGGACCAUGAACCAAUGGAAAUAAAAAGAAGAAAGAUAAGGUUGCUGAAGCAAUUUGUGCUGCCUGCAAAGGGAAGGCUGCUGCUGGAACCUCUGCCCCCCACCAAAAUGAGCUCGCCAUUAGGAGGAGCUCAUUAUACUGCCUCUCCCUUAAGCCCCUCUCACAACUACUAUCGGGCCUUCUUCCUCCCAGCCCGAGGACCAAGUCCAGGGGACUACUCCUCCUCCCUCACCUAGGAGCUCUCCCCAUGCUCAUGAGGAGGGCAGUACUAGUGCCCUCUGGCCCUAAAGCAUUCAUAACCUAGAGUUUGCAUUGACCAAGGUGGAUUCCCUCCUCGAGAAGCCGCAUCUUUCUCUCCUAAGUACAAAAAAUGCAAUACAACCUGGUGACUGUCAUCAGCUAGGGGUGAUUGAGAUUGAUGACCUGUAUGCCAAUGCCAUCCAUUAUGCUAUGGAAUGUGUUUUGUCUGUGUACCUUGCAAAGGAGUAGGACAAAGCCCUGAGGAGGGAGUAUUGGGAUUUUGAAGGAGGAGAGGAACCUACUGUUGGAGGAAGGCUAACAAUUAAAGGCUCAUGUAGACUGUAAUACCCGGCUAGAGUCCGGCAUCGGAAUUCUACUUUUCGAUGGAGUUUCGGAUGCUGGAAGACGCUAGCAGGGUUCGAUUUAUGUUUUUCUAUCUUGUUUUGAUAUGUUCAUAAGUUAAAGUAUAAGGAAAUGAGUUUUUGAGUGAAAUAAACCAAGGCAGAAAAGCCAGGUUCGGCCGCCGAAGUUGAGGUUCGGCUGCCGAACAUGCAUGGCUUUCGGUUUCACGUGUGGCUGCCGAAGGUUGUCUGGCCAGCCACCUAUAAAAGGCCCUCAGUCGGUUGAAAGGAUAAGGCACG